UGUAAUGUAAAGCGACACGUAUAAAAUAGAUUUGUUUAAAAUGCCAAAACUUGGGAUAAUUAUAUUUGUGGUAGCUAUAACACUACAUCUGCUUUAUAUCACUGAAAGUGCGCGAAAAUAUAAAAUUGUGUUCGAAAGAGGUUUGGUGACGAAUUUCAACCGCACACUCGGCGGUAAUGUAAACCUUAAAUUUGUUAAAGUGAAUCGAACCGCAUUUGCUCUCAAUGUGAACUUUGACUUGUUCAAAGAUAUGAAUGUUGAUUUAAUGAAAAUAUCGGGCCAAGUAUACAAAUUAACAGCAAACGAUUAUAAACUGUAUCCUGUUUCUAUGACUCUUCCUAUUUGUACGAUCGCAAAAAAGGAUUUUGUUGUAAAGUGGUCGGAAGUGCAUCAAUAUUCAAAUAUUCCAUUCUGUGGAGCAAUGAAAGCGGGGCCAUAUUGGGUAAAAAACUAUGUGAUUAAUCUCGUCGCUCCAAAUCUGGGACCACUCAUGUCGGGCCGAUACAAAAUCCAUGGUGUAAUCAGCGAAAAUAACAAAACUUUGUUGUUUGAGGGAGAUGUUUAUGGCGGAC